GUCUAAUCUCUAUUAUCAAAUAAAGGGCUUACAUUAUUCAAAAAAAAAAUAAAGGGCUUACAUCUUUCAAUUGAGAAAAGAGAAACAUUAGAUAAUACAGAAGAGCCAGAAUAAAGGCCAGUCAAGUAAUAUGGGCAAUUACCUAAGACAUAUUCCACCAAAAAGUGACCUUCACUUUCAGACCUAAAAGAAUGACUGCAAUACACAAUGGGGGCAGAAACUGUUUGGGAGCCCAAGAAUGUAUGUAUACCUCAUCAAAAUUCUGAUGAACCAGGUGUCCGAGGGAAAGGAAUCACAUCUCUGAUAUUCUCCAUCCCAGUUGCAAAUUGUACAAGCCUUUCGAAACCCAGACCAAAGCCCGCAUGAGGAACUGAGAAAACAAGGACAUCAAACAUCAAAAAACGUAAAUUACAUAUGUUGGAAUUGUCAUAUUCCAAACAAUAAAUAAUGUAACUAGGACCAUGCGACUAUAUCAACAUGUCAAUAUUCACUACAGGAUUAACUUUAAACUCUCCAAACACUAGCAAACUCUGCAUUAACUUUAAAUUCAGAUUUUGGUUGGUAAUUU
rnacentral:lncRNA from 1 species